rnacentral:tRNA from 3 species
AAGGCCUUAGCUUAAUUAAAGCGUCUGAUUUGCAAUCAGAAGAUGUAAGUUAAUCCCUUGUAGGUCUUA